rnacentral:rRNA from 1 species
CCUACGGGAGGCAGCAGCUAAGAAUCUUCCGCAAUGGGCGCAAGCCUGACGGAGCGACGCCGCGUGUGUGAUGAAGGCCGUGAGGUUGUAAAGCACUUUUGUCACUGAAGAAUAAGGGCAGUAGGGAAUGACUGCUUGAUGACGUUAGGUGACGAAUAAGCCCCGGCUAAUUACGUGCCAGCAGCCGCGGUAACACGUAAGGGGCAAGCGUUGUUCGGAUUUAUUGGGCGUAAAGGGCGUGUAGGCGGUUUGCCAAGCCUGAUGUGAAAGACCCCGGCUUAACCGGGGGAACGCGUUGGGAACUGGUAGACUAGAGUGUAAGAGGGGUAGUUGGAAUUCCAGGUGUAGGGGUGAAAUCUGUAGAUAUCUGGAAGAACACCGGUGGCGAAGGCGAACUACUGGCUAUACACUGACGCUGAGGCGCGAAAGUGUGGGGAGCGAACAGGAUUAGAUACCCUGGUAGUCCACACUGUAAACGAUGUGCACUAGGUGUUGGGGGGAUACCCUCAGUGCCGUAGCAAACGCGUUAAGUGCACCGCCUGGGGAGUAUGCUCGCAAGGGUGAAACUCAAAUGAAUUGACGA